rnacentral:lncRNA from 1 species
GAAGUAGAGUUGGGAGCACUGCAGGAAAAUAUGUAAUAGGCAAUGUUAUUUUUGGCUUUUGGCAACGCAAAUAAACGCUUGCUAAAUGGGUCCACGACGUUUUUCAAAGCGUUAGGCGCGCGCCGACUAUGCAGGAGUGGAAAACCAUCUUUGGAGUCCGACGACGCUUGUAGAAUGGUGACAAAAUUAUAGGCUUUUCCACCUUUUUAAACGCCGUCGGGUUCCAGCAGAAAGAGUUGUCUCAGUGGCAUCUAACGACGU